rnacentral:lncRNA from 1 species
CAGGGUUAGAGCUCACCCAGAUGAUCUCAUCUAAACCCAAUACUUUGGCAACAACCCUAUUUCCAAAUAAGGUCACAUCCUGCAGUGGGGGCGGUGGUGGGGGAGGGCCGUGGUUAGGAAUUCCACAUGUAAAUUUUAGGGGGACACAAUUCCGCCCAUCACAGGGAUAUGAGCUGAAAGAAUAUCUUGGCCAAAUUAUUCCAUCCCACCAGCAUCAGGAGAAGGGAACCAAACUGUAUCAGAGAGCUCCACAGGAAACCCAGUGUGGGAGUAGGGAGGCAUUUCCCCACCAGCUCUGCAGUGAAGCAGAUCUCCCUGGAUGCUCUCCCCGUAGCAGCACAGCCCACGGCAGCCAGGACUGCAGGGUAGACGGAGAAUCAUUUGAAAGAAAACCUUCUUGGCUGCAGAUUGCACACAUAUUUUUGAACAUCUCAGAGUAAAAAGGAAUGGUUCAAGUCGCUUGUCAAAUCUAAGCGGAUGCAAAAUUUAUAUAUGUGUGCCCACCUGCCUCCCCCACCACCGGAGUGUAAAGCUCUCCCUUGGAAGAAUGUCAGUAGUGACAACAGGUCAAUCUAUGCAGCUGUGGUGUAAAUCUUCCCUGAAAUCAACUGCACGCAUGUGUUCGUCCUCCCUGGGGGCCUGCGGCCGAAUAAGGCAGGCUGUGUGACUGUGUCCCUGACUGGCUCCCUGCCCCCCACCCCCUCUCGGUGCAAACCCGUCCGGCAAGCUGCCGUCGCUGGCAUCCUCCAGGGGCUUAACCAGCAAUAAGCCAUCUCCACAGAGAAGGACAUGUGAGGGCUUCGAGCUCCAUCCUGUGACACGCGCUGGGCGUGAAGAGCAGUUGCUUCUCCUUGGCUUUGGAGACCCUCCCUAUUCGGUCACAAUCCUGCCUUCCAAAGACCCCUUCCCUCCACCAGUGUACCUGAGCCACCCCGCCCCCUUCCAGCUUCCCAGACCCGCUGCGACCUCCUGCUGUAAACUUCCCUGUGAUCUGAACCUCUUCUUCCCAGCGCUCUUCCCCAUCCUUCAGUGCGUCUUCCUCAUUGGUUAACUGAAGUGUCUGGCAGAUAGGGGCUUCGAAAAUGUUCGCUCACUGCAGGAGAGAGGGCUUUAGCAGCCCAGUCUGAGUGUUUCAUUUAGCUGUUUGCUCAACACGGCAGGACGGUUCCAGGCCAGGCUAACCCUAACCGUUGUUUUCUCUACCUGGGAUGCCCUUACCUCUGCCCCACAAUCCACAUCCUAUUUACCCAUCCUACUGGGCUCAUUCUCCUCUCCAAAGCCACCCCUCUUGCCUAACCCAUUAGAUCCAGUGGGAGUUUUCCCUUUUUUUUUUUUUUUUAAAGAUUUUAUUUAUUUAUUUGACAGACAGAGAUCACAAGCAGGCAGAGGCAGACAGAGAGAGAGGGAAGGGGAAGCAGGCUCCCCGCUGAAUAGAGAGCCCAGUGCGGGGCUCGAUCCCAGGACCCCAAGAUCAUGACCUGAGCAGAAGGCAGAAGCUUUAACCCACUGAGCCACCCAGGCGCCCCAAGUUUUGCCUCUUCUAAAUUCCUGGCGUUCUCAUUGCUCAGGGACCUAGGCCUUAAUCACAUACUUCCCUGCAGGGAGACCUGAAUUUUCCUGGGUUCCCUUAUCAGAUCUGUAUCCACCUCCCCCAGUUCCUCAGGGUCCUGACAGUUGCUGAGCACAGACCAGCUGCUCAAACAUGUCUGAUGGCAAUUGGGCACUUUCUACCUCUCCAAUUCCCCAUAUCCUGUCUGUCAUUCAAAGUCCCGCUCAAGCCCAGCUUCCUCCAUGGUGGCUCUGUGGAUGAUGCCCCACACUGAUCCACAGCUGGCCCUGAGGCCACACUUUCUGUAUCUCACACACCUGUGGGAUGACAUGUCCGGGCACCAAUCCCAGCGUGUAUGCAUAUUCCAUAACUUGUGACCUUUGUGUGUGCCCAGCUGUGUCCUGGCUCUCUGGGUCCCUGGUGUACUCCCAGGUAACAUGCACCCCCACUGAGGCCCUCUUGAGCUGACACUUCUUUCGUUCAUCCAGACACACAUCCAGAAUACUCAAGGCCCAGAAUGUGUGACUGGGUGCCUACUGCCCUCUCAGGAUGACCUUCUGUGUGAGUCACAACUUCUGCUCCUGGAGUUUGAUCCACACACUUCUCAGUAUGGAAGGCUGACAGCAGAGCUCUUUGAGACCAAGUCACCCACCACCAGGAGACUGAGCAUUUCUGGAGCACAGAGAGAUGCUCUUAGUCCAAAGAAGGCUCACUGUGCCCGGCACAUAGUAGAAAGUCAGUAUGCCUUGAAAUAGAAUAAAAACAACCAUGAUCCUUGAUGGUAAGUGUCCUACUCCAGCAUCUCCAAACGUUGGCUUAUCCACCUUGUAAAACAAUUUUGAAAAUCUAUGUACUCAUCCACACAUUUUUACAUUGACAUCUAAAAUUUUUCACACGUUUUAAAAAUAGGUUUUACUAAUAGGAGACAGGAAAUGUUAACUAUUAUGUAUGUUGAAAUGAGAUGAGGAUUGACUAUCGUUUGAAUCAAUAUUUUAUAUUAUUGGAUAAAAUAAAUUUUCAUUACUUUACUGAAUAAAGCCUGUAUAGCUCGAGGAUAGCAGGUGAAAUUUUUUUUUGUGUGUUUGAUUGAUUGUA